rnacentral:snoRNA from 1 species
AAGACCGUACUUACUACUAUCAUUUCUAUAGUACGCGUCCCGUCUUUGUAACCUUACAGAGACAACCACGUUACCCACGUUGACGAUGCAAAUCGGGAUCCUCUGAGCGCAAAGAAUUUCGGGGUCGUUGUCUUUGAUUGACAAGUCGCCACCGAAGAUAUGUGUCUGAUGUUUGCUUGGG